CCUACGGGAGGCAGCAGUGAGGAAUAUUGGUCAAUGGACGAGAGUCUGAACCAGCCAAGUAGCGUGAAGGAUGACUGUCCUAUGGGUUGUAAACUUCUUUUAUAUGGGAAUAAAACAGGGUAUGCAUACCCUCUUGUAUGUACCAUAUGAAUAAGGAUCGGCUAACUCCGUGCCAGCAGCCGCGGUAAUACGGAGGAUCCGAGCGUUAUCCGGAUUUAUUGGGUUUAAAGGGAGCGUAGGUGGAUUGUUAAGUCAGUUGUAAAAGUUUGCGGCUCAACCGUAAAAUUGCAGUUGAAACUGGCAGUCUUGAGUACAGUAGAGGUGGGCGGAAUUCGUGGUGUAGCGGUGAAAUGCUUAGAUAUCACGAAGAACUCCGAUUGCGAAGGCAGCUCACUGGACUGCAACUGACACUGAUGCUCGAAAGUGUGGGUAUCAAACAGGAUUAGAUACCCGGGUAGUC
rnacentral:rRNA from 1 species